rnacentral:rRNA from 1 species
UAAGUUAGAAAGGGCGCACGGUGGAUGCCUUGACACUAGGAGUCGAUGAAGGACGGGACUAACGCCGAUAUGCUUCGGGGAGCUGUAAGUAAGCUUUGAUCCGAAGAUUUCCGAAUGGGGAAACCCACCAUACGUAAUGGUAUGGUAUCCUUAUCUGAAUACAUAGGGUAAGGAAGACAGACCCAGGGAACUGAAACAUCUAAGUACCUGGAGGAAGAGAAAGCAAAUGCGAUUUCCUGAGUAGCGGCGAGCGAAACGGAACAUAGCCCAAACCAAGAGGCUUGCCUCUUGGGGUUGUAGGACAUUCUAUACGGAGUUACAAAGGAACGAGGUAGGCGAAGCGACCUGGAAAGGUCCGUCGUAGAGGGUAACAACCCCGUAGUCGAAACUUCGUUCUCUCUUGAAUGUAUCCUGAGUACGGCGGAACACGUGAAAUUCCGUCGGAGUCUGGGAGGACCAUCUCCCAAGGCUAAAUACUCCCUAGUGAUCGAUAGUGAACCAGUACCGUGAGGGAAAGGUGAAAAGCACCCCGGAAGGGGAGUGAAAGAGAUCCUGAAACCGUGUGCCUACAAAUAGUCAGAGCCCGUUAACGGGUGAUGGCGUGCCUUUUGUAGAAUGAACCGGCGAGUUACGAUCCCGUGCGAGGUUAAGCUGAAGAGGCGGAGCCGCAGCGAAAGCGAGUCUGAAUAGGGCGUUUAGUACGUGGUCGUAGACCCGAAACCAGGUGAUCUACCCAUGUCCAGGGUGAAGUUCAGGUAACACUGAAUGGAGGCCCGAACCCACGCACGUUGAAAAGUGCGGGGAUGAGGUGUGGGUAGCGGAGAAAUUCCAAUCGAACCUGGAGAUAGCUGGUUCUCCCCGAAAUAGCUUUAGGGCUAGCCUUAAGUGUAAGAGUCUUGGAGGUAGAGCACUGAUUGGACUAGGGGUCCUCAUCGGAUUACCGAAUUCAGUCAAACUCCGAAUGCCAAUGACUUAUCCUUAGGAGUCAGACUGCGAGUGAUAAGAUCCGUAGUCAAAAGGGAAACAGCCCAGACCGCCAGCUAAGGUCCCAAAGUGUGUAUUAAGUGGAAAAGGAUGUGGAGUUGCUUAGACAACUAGGAUGUUGGCUUAGAAGCAGCCACCAUUUAAAGAGUGCGUAAUAGCUCACUAGUCGAGUGACUCUGCGCCGAAAAUGUACCGGGGCUAAAUACACCACCGAAGCUGCGGAUUGAUACCAAUGGUAUCAGUGUAGGGGAGCGUUCUAAGGACAGUGAAGUCAGACCGGAAGGACUGGUGGAGUGCUUAGAAGUGAGAAUGCCGGUAUGAGUAGCGAAAGACGGGUGAGAAUCCCGUCCACCGAAUGCCUAAGGUUUCCUGAGGAAGGCUCGUCCGCUCAGGGUUAGUCAGGACCUAAGCCGAGGCCGACAGGCGUAGGCGAUGGACAACAGGUUGAUAUUCCUGUACCACCUCUUUAUCGUUUGAGCAAUGGAGGGACGCAGAAGGAUAGAAGAAGCGUGCGAUUGGUUGUGCACGUCCAAGCAGUUAGGCUGAUAAGUAGGCAAAUCCGCUUAUCGUGAAGGCUGAGCUGUGAUGGGGAAGCUCCUUAUGGAGCGAAGUCUUUGAUUCCCCGCUGCCAAGAAAAGCUUCUAGCGAGAUAAAAGGUGCCUGUACCGCAAACCGACACAGGUAGGCGAGGAGAGAAUCCUAAAGGUGUGCGAGAGAACUCUGGUUAAGGAACUCGGCAAAAUGACCCCGUAACUUCGGGAGAAGGGGUGCUUUCUUAACGGAAAGCCGCAGUGAAUAGGCCCAAGCGACUGUUUAGCAAAAACACAGCUCUCUGCGAAGCCGUAAGGCGAAGUAUAGGGGGUGACACCUGCCCGGUGCUGGAAGGUUAAGGAGAGGGGUUAGCGUAAGCGAAGCUCUGAACUGAAGCCCCAGUAAACGGCGGCCGUAACUAUAACGGUCCUAAGGUAGCGAAAUUCCUUGUCGGGUAAGUUCCGACCCGCACGAAAGGUGUAACGAUUUGGGCACUGUCUCAACCAGAGACUCGGUGAAAUUAUAGUACCUGUGAAGAUGCAGGUUACCCGCGACAGGACGGAAAGACCCCGUGGAGCUUUACUGUAGCCUGAUAUUGAAUUUUGGUACAGUUUGUACAGGAUAGGCGGGAGCCUUUGAAACCGGAGCGCUAGCUUCGGUGGAGGCGCUGGUGGGAUACCGCCCUGACUGUAUUGAAAUUCUAACCUACGGGUCUUAUCGACCCGGGAGACAGUGUCAGGUGGGCAGUUUGACUGGGGCGGUCGCCUCCUAAAGUGUAACGGAGGCGCCCAAAGGUUCCCUCAGAAUGGUUGGAAAUCAUUCGUAGAGUGCAAAGGCAUAAGGGAGCUUGACUGCGAGACCUACAAGUCGAGCAGGGACGAAAGUCGGGCUUAGUGAUCCGGUGGUUCCGCAUGGAAGGGCCAUCGCUCAACGGAUAAAAGCUACCCCGGGGAUAACAGGCUUAUCUCCCCCAAGAGUCCACAUCGACGGGGAGGUUUGGCACCUCGAUGUCGGCUCAUCGCAUCCUGGGGCUGUAGUCGGUCCCAAGGGUUGGGCUGUUCGCCCAUUAAAGCGGUACGCGAGCUGGGUUCAGAACGUCGUGAGACAGUUCGGUCCCUAUCCGUCGUGGGCGUAGGAAAUUUGAGAGGAGCUGUCCUUAGUACGAGAGGACCGGGAUGGACGCACCGCUGGUGUACCAGUUGUUCUGCCAAGGGCAUAGCUGGGUAGCUAUGUGCGGAAGGGAUAAGUGCUGAAAGCAUCUAAGCAUGAAGCCCCCCUCAAGAUGAGAUUUCCCAUAGCGUAAGCUAGUAAGAUCCCUGAAAGAUGAUCAGGUUGAUAGGUUCGAGGUGGAAGCAUGGUGACAUGUGGAGCUGACGAAUACUAAUAGAUCGAGGACUUAACCA